rnacentral:rRNA from 1 species
CGACCGGCGCACGGGUGAGUAACACGUAUCCAACCUGCCGAUGACUCGGGGAUAGCCUUUCGAAAGAAAGAUUAAUACCCGAUGGCAUAGUUCUUCCGCAUGGUAGAACUAUUAAAGAAUUUCGGUCAUCGAUGGAGAUGCGUUCCAUUAGCUUGUUGGCGGGGUAACGGCCCACCAAGGCAUCGAUGGAUAGGGGUUCUGAGAGGAAGGUCCCCCACAUUGGAACUGAGACACGGUCCAAACUCCUACGGAAGGCAGCAG